rnacentral:rRNA from 1 species
GAUGAACGCUGGCGGCGUGCCUAAUACAUGCAAGUCGAGCGAACAGAUGAGAAGCUUGCUUCUCUGAUGUUAGCGGCGGACGGGUGAGUAACACGUGGGUAACCUACCUAUAAGACUGGGAUAACUCCGGGAAACCGGGGCUAAUACCGGAUAAUAUUUUGAACCGCAUGGUUCAAUAGUGAAAGACGGUUUCGGCUGUCACUUAUAGAUGGACCCGCGCCGUAUUAGCUAGUUGGUAAGGUAACGGCUUACCAAGGCGACGAUACGUAGCCGACCUGAGAGGGUGAUCGGCCAGACUGGAACUGAGACACGGUCCAGACUCCUACGGGAGGCAGCAGUAGGGAACCUUCCGCAAUGGGCGAAAGCCUGACGGAGCAACGCCGCGUGAGUGAUGAAGGUCUUCGGAUCGUAAAACUCUGUUGUUAGGGAAGAACAAAUUUGUUAGUAACUGAACAAGUCUUGACGGUACCUAACCAGAAAGCCACGGCUAACUACGUGCCAGCCGCCGCAGUAA